UACGUAGGGGGCGAGCGUUGUCCGGAUUCAUUGGGCGUAAAGAGCUCGUAGGCGGUUCGGUAAGUCAGAUGUGAAAACUCCAGGCUCAACUUGGAGAGGCCAUCUGAUACUGCUGUGACUAGAGUCCGGUAGGGGAGCACGGAAUUCCUGGUGUAGCGGUGAAAUGCGCAGAUAUCAGGAGGAACACCAGCGGCGAAGGCGGUGCUCUGGGCCGGAACUGACGCUGAGGAGCGAAAGCGUGGGUAGCGAACAGG
rnacentral:rRNA from 1 species